GCCUGGGGGGUUUAUAUUCCAGCCUUGCCCACCCUGGCAGAGGCACUGCCAGCUCCAGCCACAGCCAUGAGGGUCCACCUUGCCAUUUUCCUCCUCCUGGGGCUCUUUGCCCUCCGAGUGGAGCCCAGUUCUGCCAAAAUGAUGAAGCACAGGGCACAGGGUGCGAAUCAUCACGAGUCAGGAGAAAUUCACAUGGAUGAGGAGACCUUCCAGACUCCAGUGCUCUCAACAAACGGGUCCCCGACGCCCGGCAAGUGCCCUGCCACUAUCACCCAUCACCACCUGGGAGCUGCCUACUGCAGCGAGGGGAGGCCCUGCCCAGGAGACCAGAAGUGCUGCCGUGUGGGGAAUAUUCUGAAGUGUGUCCUUCCGGAAGGAGG
rnacentral:lncRNA from 1 species